UUGUCCUCUUCUAUCCAGAGAGAUGCCUUUGUCAUCAGAGGUUUAAUCCACGGAUGGAGAACCCCAUAAACUGAGCUAUGCAUAUCUUCAAUCCCAGCAUUUGGAGAGAGAGGCAAACCAGCUCUCUAUGAGUUUAAGGCCAGCCUGCUCUACAUAACAAACUCCAGGCCAACCAGGGCUGCACAGAGAGACCCUAUCCCAAAACCAACAAACAACAAACAAACAGAACAAAGCCCCCCUCCAACCAACCCCCCAAACUGGUGGUUGGUGCUUAAGCUCUUGGACCAUAAGGAAAACAAGAGGUGCCUCUGUUUAAAAGCCUUGCAGAGAAAAAUGGAUCAAAGGUGUCAGCGAGAGUGAGGUGGGCCAGCUCAUCUAAAAAACAGCUCAAGUGCAUUUACUGGAAACUUGAUUUUAAAUACUUUGGGCUGGUCAGCUGGAGCUGAGACAUUAGCUGUGAUUAAGAAGAGACAAGCAUCAUGGAACUGAAAUCUUCUGGGAAGUAUUUCCUCGGAGUCAGCACACGGAAGCUGGGUUCCAGAUGUGGCCAAGGUUGUGCUUCGAACUGGUAGCCAAACUAAGUAAUGUGUAAGAGUCACCCAGGUGGUGCCAGUUUUGACAGUGUGAAGGGGUCAUGGGCAGCAGCCGAGUCUCGGUACUGUGUGGCAGGGUUGGAGUCCCUAAGAGAGCCCAGAAGAGGCUAUUGGUGAAAGCACAGCCCAGCUGCAGCAGAAGACGCUAGCAUUUGGGAGAUGGUAGUACCAUGUGAUGACCACCAAGAAGAGCAGCAAUGGAGCAGACUCAGCCAGAGCCUGGAAAACAAGCUGUGUGUCACAGAGGGCAGAGCUAGAAAAAUGACUCGGGCCCCUUGGAGGAGCCCAGAGGAUCAUGAGUGAAUCAUAGAUAACUGGGCAUUACGUUAUUUACACUGGAGUUUGGUUUUGCUUUGUUUAGAUGGUGACUAUACCCUGGUUCUUCCCUCUUGAAAUAAGAAUUUAAUUUAUUAUGGAUAUGAUAGGAGCCCACAACUGAGAGACUUUGGAUUUUUCAAAGAGACUUGAUUUCUAAGUGUUUGAACGUGUAAAGACUGCAGGACUUUUUAAGUCUAUGAACUGUUUCAUAUUGUGAUGCUGAUGUUAAUAUGUGAUCUCAGGAGUGGAUAGGAAGGGAAAGGUUGUAGCUUAACAGUUCUGUGUUUGUCAAGCUGACAAGGGGUUGAUUGUUCUGGUGAGUUUUGUGUCAAUCUGGCACAAGCUACAUUCAGCUGAGAGAAGAAACUUCAAUUUAAAAAUGCCUCCAGAGGGGCUGGAGAGAUGGCUCAGCGGUUAAGAGCACUGACUGCUCUUCCUAAAGGUCCUGAGUUCAAAUCCCAGCAACCAUAUGGUGGCUCACAACCAUCUGUAAUGUGAUCUGAUGCUCUCUUCUGAAGACAGCUACAGUGUACUUAGAUAUAAUAAUAAAUAAAUCUUUAAAAAAAAUUUAAAAAUGCCUCCAGAAUAUGGGGCUGUAGGCAAGCCUGCAGGGUAUUUUCUUAAUUAGUGAUUGAUGAGUUGGGGGGGGGGGCAAACCAUUGUAGGUGGGCCACAAUGUCCUGUGCUUUGUAAGAAAGCAGGUGGACUGAGCCAUGAAAACCAAGCCAGUGAGCAGUGUUUGUUUCUGCUUCCGUUCCUGCCUUGAGUUCCUGCCCUGACUUCCCCUGAUGAUAGACUAUCAACUGUAAGAUGAAAUAAACCAUUUAUUUCCUCAUCAAGAUGCUCUUGUCCUGGUGUUUUGUUCAAUUUUUUUUUUUUUUUUUUUUUUUUUUUUUUUUUUUUUUUUUUUAGCACAGCAAUAGAC
rnacentral:lncRNA from 1 species